UACGUAGGGUGCGAGCGUUGUCCGGAAUUAUUGGGCGUAAAGAGCUUGUAGGCGGUCUGUCGCGUCUGCUGUGAAAAUCCGGGGCUCAACCCCGGACUUGCAGUGGGUACGGGCAGACUAGAGUGUGGUAGGGGAGACUGGAAUUCCUGGUGAUAGCGGUGAAAUGCGCAGAUAUCAGGAGGAACACCGAGUGGCGAAGGCAGGUCUC
rnacentral:rRNA from 1 species